rnacentral:rRNA from 1 species
UGAGACAGGGCCCAGACUCGUACGGGGGGCAGCAAUGGGGUAUAAUGAACAAUGGGCGAAAGCCUGAUCCAGCAAUACCGAGUGAGUGAUGAAGGCCUUAGGGUUGUAAAACUCUUUUAGCAAGGGAGAUAAUGACGUUACUUGCAGAAAAAGCCCCGGCUAACUCCGUGCCAGCAGCCGCGGUAAGACGGGGGGGGCUAGCGUUGUUCGGAAUUACUGGGCGUAAAGAGUGCGUAGGCGGUUUAGUAAGUUGGAAGUGAAAGCCCGGGGCUUAACCCCGGAAGUUGCUUUCAAAACUACUAAUCUAGAGUGUAGUAGGGGAUGAUGGAAUUCCUAGUGUAGAGGUGCAAUUCUUAGAUAUUAGGAGGAACACCGGUGGCGAAGGCGGUCAUCUGGGCUACAACUGACGCUAAUGCACGAAAGCGUGGGGAGCAAACAGGAUU